GACGAACGCUGGCGGCGUGCCUAAUACAUGCAAGUAGAACGCACAGUUUAUACCGUAGCUUGCUACACCAUAGACUGUGAGUUGCGAACGGGUGAGUAACGCGUAGGUAACCUGCCUGGUAGCGGGGGAUAACUAUUGGAAACGAUAGCUAAUACCGCAUAAUAUUGAUUAUUGCAUGAUAAUUAAUUGAAAGGUGCAAUUGCACCACUACCAGAUGGACCUGCGUUGUAUUAGCUAGUAGGUGAGGUAACGGCUCACCUAGGCGACGAUACAUAGCCGACCUGAGAGGGUGAGCGGCCACACUGAGACUGAGACACGGCCCAGACUCCUACGGGAGGCAGCAGUAGGGAAUCUUCGGCAAUGGACGAAAGUCUGACCGAGCAACGCCGCGUGAGGGAGGAAGGUUUUCGGAUCGUAAAGCUCUGUUGUAAGAGAAGAACGGGGGUGAGAGUGGAAAGUUCACACUGUGACGGUAUCUUACCAGAAAGGGACGGCUAACUACGUG
rnacentral:rRNA from 1 species